CCUUAGGCUGGGACUGUAAACAGUUCAGCACUUUCCUAUGCCAACUGGCAUCUCCAAAGAGGGCUCUGGAGAUCGGUGAAAACCAAACUGGAGCUGAUUUCUUGGAGAAAGGAGAAGAACCAACGCCACAGCAGGAGGGACUGUUCCACCCCAAGAUGCGGCAAUGUGGCCAGCCAAACACAGAGUCCCGUGUCAGGAGAAGAGGAAAAAGACACCAUGCGAGAGGUGCGGGACAGACCGCAAAGCAAACACUGAGUUAGGAGCUGGACAAGGGACUCAAAAAGGAUAUGAGCACUGGAGCGUGAGCACAGUUCACGGGCCGGCUGCUAAACAACCCUCCCCACUUAUUCCUCCACCGCGGGCCCCCUUCCGCCUGAAGCGCUGUCGACUUCUAAUUACUUACUUGUCCCUUUUUCUGAAGAGGCUGGGGGAAUAAGGAGGCUGAAAUGCCAUCA